UGACUUUGAGGUUGAUGCACACUGAAACUCAUGCUGAGCUCAUCCUUACGCUAGUCUAUGCCAAAUGCGAUCGCAUUGAAACAAUUGACCUUUGGGAUUCUUUGUACGGAAUGGCUUCAGAUAUGACAGUACCAUGGCUAGUUAGAAGUGACUUUAAUGUCAUAUGGGAUGAGGAAGAGAAGUAUGGAGGCUUUCCGGUUUCUAUCCUUGAAGUAGAUGACUUUAGACACUGCAUAAAUACCUGCAAUUUGACAGAUUUGGGAUUUAAUGGAAGCUUAUUUACAUGGUGGAAUGGAAUAGCAGAGGAGGACUAUAUAUUCAAAAGAUUGGAUAGAUGUUUAGGCAAUGACGAAUUGCAACUGACCUUUCGUGGAUUGGAGGUAAUUCACCAGUCCAAAAUUGGCUCUGAUCAUUGCCCGAUACUGCUGAAAUGUGACAUAAAAACUCCCCCAAUUAAGAAGUCGUUCAGAUUUUUAACUUCUGGACAAAGCAUGAAACUUUCAAAGAUGUAGUGAAGGAGAAU
rnacentral:lncRNA from 1 species